AGAGUUUGAUCCUGGCUCAGGAUGAACGCUAGCGGCAGGCCUAAUACAUGCAAGUCGAACGGGUGGUAGCAAUACCACUAGUGGCGCACGGGUGCGUAACGCGUAACCAACCUGCCCAGAACUGGGGGAUAGCCCGCCGAAAGGGGAUUAAUACCGCAUAUACCAGCAACCCGGCAUCGGGUAAUUGGGAAAGAUUUAUUGGUUCUGGAUGGGGUUGCGUAGCAUUAGCUAGAUGGCGGGGUAACGGCCCACCAUGGCGACGAUGCUUAGGGGACCUGAGAGGGUGAUCCCCCACACUGGCACUGAGAUACGGGCCAGACUCCUACGGGAGGCAGCAGUAGGGAAUAUUGGGCAAUGGGCGAGAGCCUGACCCAGCCAUGCCGCGUGCCGGAUGAAGGCCUUCUGGGUUGUAAACGGCUUUUCUCAGGGAAGAAAAAGGGUAUGCGUACCACACUGACGGUACCUGAGGAAUAAGCACCGGCUAACUCCGUGCCAGCAGCCGCGGUAAUACGGAGGGUGCAAGCGUUGUCCGGAUUUAUUGGGUUUAAAGGGUGCGUAGGUGGCCUGUUAAGUCCGGGGUGAAAGCCCACAGCUCAACUGUGGAACUGCCCUGGAUACUGGCGGGCUUGAGUCCAGACGAGGUUGGCGGAAUGGAUGCUGUAGCGGUGAAAUGCAUAGAUAGCAUCCAGAACCCCGAUUGCGUAGGCAGCUGACUAGGCUGGUACUGACACUGAGGCACGAAAGCGUGGGGAGCGAACAGGAUUAGAUACCCUAGUAGUCC
rnacentral:rRNA from 1 species